UACGUGGGGGGCAAGCGUUGUCCGGAUUUACUGGGCGUAAAGCGCGCGUAGGCGGAACGUUAAGUCCGGUCUGAAAGCCCCCGGCUCAACCGGGGAGGGUGGCUGGAAACUGGCGUUCUUGAGGGCGAGAGAGGAGGGUGGAAUUCCUGGUGUAGCGGUGAAAUGCGUAGAGAUCAGGAGGAACACCCGGGGCGAAGGCGGCCCUCUGGCUCGACCCUGACGCUGAGGCGCGAAAGCGUGGGGAGCGAACGGG
rnacentral:rRNA from 1 species